CCUACGGGAGGCAGCAGUAGGGAAUCUUCGGCAAUGGGCGAAAGCCUGACCGAGCAACGCCGCGUGAGCGAGGAAGGCCUUCGGGUCGUAAAGCUCUGUUGUCAGGGAAGAACAAGUACGAGAGUAACUGCUCGUACCUUGACGGUACCUGACCAGAAAGCCACGGCUAACUACGUGCCAGCAGCCGCGGUAAUACGUAGGUGGCAAGCGUUAUCCGGAAUUAUUGGGCGUAAAGCGCGCGCAGGCGGUCUCUUAAGUCUGAUGUGAAAGCCCACGGCUCAACCGUGGAGGGUCAUUGGAAACUGGGAGACUUGAGUGCAGGAGAGAAAAGUGGAAUUCCACGUGUAGCGGUGAAAUGCGUAGAGAUGUGGAGGAACACCAGUGGCGAAGGCGGCUUUUUGGCCUGUAACUGGCGCUGAGGCGCGAAAGCGUGGGGAGCAAACAGGAUUAGAUACCCUGGUAGUCCACGCCGUAAACGAUGAGUGCUAGGUGUUGGGGGGUUCCACCCGUCAGUGCUGACGCUAACGCAUUAAGCACUCCGCCUGGGGAUACGGCCGCAAGGCUGAAACUCAAGGAUUGACGGCUGAGAGNGCGAGCGACGACGAGGGAGGAGG
rnacentral:rRNA from 1 species